UACGGGGGGGGCAAGCGUUGUUCGGAAUUACUGGGCGUAAAGGGUUCGUAGGUGGCUUGUUAAGUCAGACGUGAAAUCCCUCGGCUCAACCGGGGAACUGCGUCUGAGACUGAUGAGCUCGAGUGCAGGAGAGGAACGCGGAAUUCCAGGUGUAGCGGUGAAAUGCGUAGAUAUCAGGAGGAACACCGGUGGCGAAGGCGGGUCUCUGGGCCGAAAUUGACGCUGAGGAGCGAAAGCGUGGGGAGCAAACAGG
rnacentral:rRNA from 1 species